AAUAGAUGACGCUGUUGACUUUUUCUCACAUGUUUGACCAUUCGUCUUAUUCAAAAAAUUUACGCAAUUAUAAUUUAUUUUGUUAUGAGUUGUUUUAUCACUCAUAAUACUUUAAGUGUGAUUUAUAUCUUAUAUAUUUGCGUAUUUUUUUUUAAUAAGACAAAUGGUCAAACAUGUGAGAAAAAGUCAACGGCGUCAUCUAUU
rnacentral:pre_miRNA from 1 species